rnacentral:rRNA from 1 species
UGGGUAACCUGCCCAUAAGACUGGGAUAACUCCGGGAAACCGGGGCUAAUACCGGAUAACAUUUUGAACCGCAUGGUUCGAAAUUGAAAGGCGGCUUCGGCUGUCACUUAUGGAUGGACCCGCGUCGCAUUAGCUAGUUGGUGAGGUAACGGCUCACCAAGGCAACGAUGCGUAGCCGACCUGAGAGGGUGAUCGGCCACACUGGGACUGAGACACGGCCCAGACUCCUACGGGAGGCAGCAGUGGU